GGGCAGUGUCACUGCUUAGAGAAGAAGUUUAUCAGUGGUGGUUGACAGUGAAAGAGGGCACCCAACCUGAGCAGGUCACUUGGGAGUUCUUCAAAAUUGCAUUUCAAGGGAAGUAUAUGGGUGCGAAUUAUGUGGAUGCUAAAAGAAAGGAGUUCCUGAACUUGACCUAGGGAAACAAAUCUGUGGCGGAGUAUGAGGUGGAAUUUCUACGCCUUAGUUGGUAUGCAAAAGUUAUGAUGGCAACGGACUAUAAGCAUUACGUUAGGUUUGAGGAUGGUCUUAGGGAUAGCCUCAGAGUAUUGAUAGAUCUACAAAGGGAGUGAAUUUUCUUGGAGUUGGUAUAGAAAGCAAAGAUAGCAGAGGAGGUGAAGCAUGCUGAGCGCCUGAAUCGGGCAAAAGAAAGAGGUAAGAAUAAAAGGGAGGCUGAGACUCCUGGUGUUGGACAGAGGCCUGGGGCUAGGGCCAGAGUCAAUGGGCUAGUUAGAGCAGGGCCCCCUGCUGUCAAUCCAGGGGUGCCACCUUGUGCUACUUGUGGAAAAAGUCAUGCAGGAGAGUGGUGAAGGAGAAUAGGAGCCUGUCUGAGUUAUGGUUCCAUGGAGCAUUAUCUCAGAGAAUGUUCCAGAAGACCGGAUCAGAGGCAAGUCUUUGGUAGAGGUAAUGGACGCCGCUGAGGGGUGGUUUGCAGCCGCCUGGAGGCCGUGGUCAGGCCGGGGGUGGAAACCGUUUGAGCCGUGGAGCACCAGGCAGAGGUACUGGUCAUGUUGAGGCGAGACAGCCAGCGUUGGUCUAUGCAGCAUGUCGUCGAGAGGAUGGAGACACUCCAGAGGCUAAUACUGGUGCGUACUUUACCCAUAGUGUGCUAUUUACUUAGUUUGGAAUUAGAAUGCGCAGCGGGAGCGUGGUGUGGUAGUUUGUGUUAUGCAGUUGUACUGAUAGUUGGAAAUUUUGAGGACGAAAUUUCUUUUAGGUGGUAGAGUUGUAACGCCCCAAAAAUCUCGAACUUUCUUUUUAUGAUGGUUUUGAUAAAAUGUGUGCUUAAUAUUCCUAGUCAAGUGUUAUUUAUGUGAUAAUAGGCCUUGAUUAAGUUUAGAGUUCAAACUUUGGGGUGAAGGAAAUUAUAGUUUAAUAAUUAAAAGAACCUUGAUGGCAAGUAGAUUGGGUUUUAAAUAAAUAAAAGAGGAACUAGACACAAGGAGCCUUAUGUUGGAGUGGCAAGUAGUGUCACAUGUGGGGCUUAGUGGUGGCGUCACAUGCAUGGCAAGGAGGUUUGGGGUUCGAAUCCCUCCUUGCUCAAAAGAAGGAUUUAUUUUUGCUCAAUAAAUGGCCAGUAGUGGCGUUGGAUGUGAACUCUGAAGGGAGUGAUCAGAGGAGAAAUUUAAGGAAGGGAUUAAAGAGUUAUCAGGGAGAAAAGUUAGGAGAUGAGGGGUGUAGAGAACUGGAGCCGAAUAGGGAAUUUGGGGAUAGGUAAAUUUGGUUAUAGUAUAUAUAGGUGCCGAUUUUGGAUUCUAGGGGGAUGUUGAAAUUGCUUCUCUUCCUUUACCGAAUUCCUCAUUUUUUUUGGGUUGCCGAAACACUUUUCUCUCUAAAUGCUCAGAAGCCAAAUUCCUUGUUCCUCGCUUGCCAAUUUUCCAUUCUUUCUCUUUUCAAAUUCUCUUUUGAUUCACCUUUGGUUUUAGCCGAUUCCUUCUUCUCUUCUUCUUAUUUGUGCUGAAUAACCCCUUUCACCAUACAAAUCUCAAAAGUCGAAUACCUCUUUGGCUGAAGACCUUUUAUGUCGCCACUACUCCCUCUACUUUGCCCGAUUCUUGUGUAAGUGCUUUGCUCUUUCAGUAGGUUUUCCUAGUACCGAUUUCUUCUUUUCGUCACUCUUUCUAAAUCGGUUUUGGUAGGGGAUUAGUAUCAAAUCUCAGAUUUUAGAUCUACAUCGAAUUGCUCCUUAGGCGCUUUGGGGUUUUGGGUAAGUUUUCCUCUUUUAUUGGUUAAGGUUGGCCGAAUGGUCAUGGAUGUUUUAAGAGUGACUUAAGGUGAUUGCGAGUCACUUGUCGGUUAGUUCUUAAUGAUUAAGAUUGAUGCAGAUUUAAGGAAUACUCGUGAUUAGUGAUCAGGGAAGUUCUGUAAGGCUUGUCAUUCAAGGUAAGGCAAAGGUGAGAUUUUCGAUUUUUGGUGAUCGUAUUUGAUAAGUGUGUGAUUAAUCUUUGAGUGACACCAUCUAUAGGUUCGUGGCUAAGGAGAUCGCGGCACGUUUUAGUACCAGGUGUGUACAUACACUGCACACACACACAGUAGACUGACAAAUCCUGAAAUAUCGAAAUGCUGAAAUGCCGAAAGUUUGGCUACAAUAGUCUUGCGAGUGCGCGAACACUCGUAAAGGGGAAACCGAUAGGUUAUCAGAGGCCCAUGAGUAAUUCCAUGGACUUGGGCCGUGUAUUGGCCAAUCGGGCCAAAAUGGGCUAAAUGGGCCCGAUGGGCUGUAGGGCCCAUAAUAGGCAAAAUUGGCAAAUUGAUACUAUGUGAUGAAAAAUCAUGUGAUUGUAUGACUAUGAAUGUGAUUGGGCUUGACGGGCCAUAUGAAAGUGAUUGGGCCGAUGGGUCAUAUGAAUGAGAUUGGGCCUAAAGGGGCCAAAUGAAUAAGUAUGGAUCUGGUAGUGUUUAGUAAGGGGUUGUUGACCCAGUUUUUUGGUAACUACUUAAUCAGACAUAAAACUUAAAUAAUUAAUUAAUUGUGACCGUGGAUGAGUCAUAAGGUUAAGGUGUGUCAAUGGGUAUAUGCACGUUUAGGAUUGGAUCUAGGGAGAGCUUGGCACUUAAGCGGUCUUAAUGACCCAUCUCCUCUUCUCUGGAAUCCUACCUGGUGCAUAGUAUCUGUUUACUUUAGCCAACGAGGACUUGUUAACGGGCCAAGGUAAGUAAUAAACCCAUAAUAAAGAAAAAUUAUCGAAAUGCCCCUAAGGGCGAGAACGACUAAAAUACACCUAUGUGUUGAAUGUAAGAUUUAUGGAUGUUGCAUGUGUACCUGCUGCAUUCAUAUGAUAUUCUGUUUAGGUUGUAUUUGGGUUGGGAAUUAUGGAAUGGAGGAAGUGUAUAAGGAUCGCAUGGUUGCUUGAUGACUGUGGAUCCACCGAUGGCUUUUUAAGCCCAAUAUGUGAUUAGCGGCUUUGCUGUAACGUUAGGUAGUACCGAAAUCGGGCUACCAUUAGAGUGUAUCGGAUGGGUGGGUCAAUAUUUAUAUCCCCACAUGGAGUAUGUCAGGGGAUGGAGAUGGUGUGUAGCGAUUGGAUGGGUGGAAUUCGUGCAUAUUUGAUUGCUUUACUUCUGUUCUGAUAUUGAAUUGGGCUCAGGCCCAAAAAGACUUGCUAUUGCAUGCUUUCCUAUUUGUUGAGGGUUGUACACACUGAGUUUUCGAAAACUCACCCCUUCUUUUAUUUUUCUCAAAUGAUCCUUAGUAGGUGGUUUGACGGUAGGAGGGACUCCGAGGUGGCCAGUUAGCAAGACGACUUGGACUUGUUUUCUUAAAUAUAUAAUUUCUAGUAUUUUAAGUUAAUUCAGUCCGAAAUGUAAUAAAGGCUUUCCUUUGGUUAUUAUUUCAAAUUAGGAUUAUUAUUAUUUUUAUGCUUUAUAUUUGUUAGAAGUAGAACAUGGUUUUCCUAAACCAUAACUGUUUUUAAAUACUACGUUUUCGCAACUCUAUUUUUAAAUGAAAAUUUUUCAUAAAUCAUCUAUUUUAAAUAAAGCUUUCGCAACUGAAAAGAGAUUUUACAAAGUAAUUAUUAUCAUACAAGAAGAAUAUUUUUUAUUUAAAAUACACCUCGCUUUGAAAGCAACAAAUACAAGUUGGGAUUUUACUCAAGGUUUUUAUUUCAAAAAAGAGUUUUCAAUGAAAACAAGGUUUUCGAUAAAAUACUUCAAUGUGAGACGCUGGAUCUGGCCAUAAUGUUCGGGCCGAGUUUGGGGUGUUACAUUUAGUGGUAUCAGAGCCAAGUUGUAAAAACUCGAGCUGUGAAAUGGUCCUUAUUAUUUGGGUUUGUUUUUUAAAACAAAGAAUUGGAUCACAAUGUUUUGGAAAAAGUUCUUUUAUUAUUAAGCUUGUUUAAUUUGAUAUACUGUAGAUAGUUAAUGGGCUACUUUGGAUGAUUAUACUAAGGCUUUUAGUUAGAGUAAAACUGAAGCCCGUAGGACCUUCAAACUGUAGAGGAUUUACGAAUACAACUUUCUUUUUAAUACUUUCAUAAAACAUCGACUUAAUUAUUGAAACUAAUUAAAACUUCAUAAAAUUUCUAAUCCAAAUAAUACGUGAAUCAAUGAUGAGUGCUAGAAGAGGUGCAAGAGGCCGUGGCCGAGGCCGCGGAGGUGUUAGGGCUGAAUCGUCGGCAUCGGGCCAUAUGCCCAAUGUUGGAGUAGAAGAGGCUCCGGCCUCAUCCGUGGCUGAGACUGGACCGUUUGAUCGGGCAACAAGGAAUGAUGCAUUGUCACAGGCAACGCUAAGGAUUUUGAAUAGGGUCGUAGGGCCCAAUAAUGGCACGAAAAAUCGGGGUCAAUUCUGGAGCGACUUUGAUCAAAUGGGGCUGAGAUCUUUAAGGACGUGGCUGGUGUGGCUCCUAACGUGGCUGAAUACUGGUUGGAGGCCACUGAAAGGAUAAUGGAGGACUUGGACUAUUCACCUGAACAAAAGUUGAAAGGGGCAGUGUCACUGCUUAGGGAAGAAGUUUAUCAGUGGUGGCUGACAGUGAAAGAGGGCACCCAACCUGAGCAGGUCACUUGGGAGUUCUUCAAAACUGCAUUUCAAGGGAAGUAUAUGGGUGCGAAUUAUGUGGAUGCUAGAAGAAAGGAGUUCCUGAACUUGACCUAGGGAAACAAAUCUGUGGCGGAGUAUGAGGUGGAAUUUCUACGCCUUAGUUGGUAUGCAAAAGUUAUGAUGGCAACGGACUAU
rnacentral:lncRNA from 1 species